GACGAACGCUGGCGGCGUGCUUAACACAUGCAAGUCGAACGGAAAGGCCCUGCUUUUGUGGGGUGCUCGAGUGGCGAACGGGUGAGUAACACGUGAGUAACCUGCCCUUGACUUUGUGAUAACUUCAGGAAACUGGGGCUAAUACCGGAUAGGAGCUCCUGCUGCAUGGUGGGGGUUGGAAAGUUUCGGCGGUUGGGGAUGGACUCGCGGCUUAUCAGCUUGUUGGUGGGGUAGUGGCUUACCAAGGCUUUGACGGGUAGCCGGCCUGAGAGGGUGACCGGCCACAUUGGGACUGAGAUACGCCCCAGACUCCUACGGGAGGCAGCAGUGGGGAAUAUUGCACAAUGGGCGGAAGCCUGAUGCAGCAACGCCGCGUGCGGGAUGACGGCCUUCGGGUUGUAAACCGAUUUCGCCUGUGACGAAGCGUGAGUGACGGUAAUGGGUAAAGAAGCACCGGCUAACUACGUG
rnacentral:rRNA from 1 species